GCCAUAGCUCAGGAGUAGGGCAUCUGCACCGUAUGCAGAAGGUCUCAGGUUCAGUUCCUAGUAUCUCCA